UACGGAGGGUGCAAGCGUUGUCCGGAUUUAUUGGGUUUAAAGGGUGCGUAGGCGGCUAUUUAAGUCAGUGGUGAAAUCCUGCAGCUUAACUGUAGAAUUGCCAUUGAUACUGGAUAGCUUGAGUACAGACGAGGUAGGCGGAAUUUAUGGUGUAGCGGUGAAAUGCAUAGAUACCAUAAAGAACACCUAUUGCGAAGGCAGCUUACUAGGCUGUAACUGACGCUGAGGCACGAAAGUGUGGGGAUCAAACAGG
rnacentral:rRNA from 1 species